rfam:Schistosoma haematobium scaffold60_50, whole genome shotgun sequence.
GCACUACUGAAAAGUCCCACAAUAGGACGAAACGGCCGUCCAAUGU